GAUCGAAUAAGACGAUGAAACCCUAAACCGAGAAGACGCCGCAAGCGAAUGGAGCUGUCGCUCUCUAUUGGAUUGGAUAUUUGUCAUUCGCAAUAUUAAAACGAAAGCCCAAUAAACUCAUAACGCCGUGAACAAAAACCUUACAAAUAUAAGCAUAAGAUCAAAGCCCAUCACGCUGAUGUUUAAGUGAUACAGUAUGUUUUGCGUAAGUGGACACGUGGCGGCUCCAGGACGCGCAACUUUCCUAUGUGGACGAUGACGUGGAGGCCUGUGAGAGAAGCAAACCAUUUUUAUAGUAAUAGAUUUUUCGUUGUGGUUUGGGCUUAAUUUCAUUAUGUCGAUGUGUUUUUGGGCUCGGAAACCAGAUAGCUUUAUGUUUAUGUGUGGAGGUAUCCCGAUAACCCAAUAGAGUUGAACCCUAAUGUGUUUUACGCGAAAAUGGAUCUUUCGGGUUUGUUUCUCUUUUUUGUUCGGUGGCUGACUUCUGAUCUUCAUCUCUAUCUCUGAAACGCUCAGUUAUGUCUUCUUCACGUCUUCAUCUCUUUGAUACUCCGGCGUUACAAUCAAAAUUCGUGGCCAAGUAUUGAUUCUUUUCAUCUUACCGCCGUAUUAUCUCCACCGAUUUAUGUAAAUUGAUUGUUAUCUGACCAUAUCAUGAUGGAAUCCAGCAUCUGUUUCUUAUCGUCUGGCUUUCUACUUACUGAAUUUGGCUGAUUCCAAGCGUCAUAUUUAAGGCACUCAUUAACAAUCUUUCCUCAAUUACUUCUUUCCUGGGCAUUCUUGACUAUAAAUAGUGUAUUGCAGGCGACCCUUAUGCAAGCCACCGUCAACGUACAAUUUGUCACCAUCACCGUCAAGCGGACUGUUCAGAAUCGUCAGAUGUAGCUUUGGUCAUUAAGGCGUUGAAAGAGCUGGAAAGAGACUGUAAACAAAGUUAAGAACAUGACGCACAAGACUACAAGAGUAAUAUUCUAUUAUUUUAUUGAGAUUGCUACGAUGGGGCGUAAAUAUAUUGCGAUAGAGCUGAGUGGGACAGUUAGGGAGAUUCUGGAAACAUGUGUCGUUGCUGGAUGCACUGUUGAUGGAACUGAUCUGAAGGAUCUUUGGCAGGAUAUUCAAGAAGGUGAGAUCAAUAUUCAUGAUUACCAAGGUAAAAAAAUGCACACAGAAAAAAAGAUUUUAUGGGUAUUGCAAAGAUGAUGUCUACUCUUCUACACAUUUUUAUAAGAGCUUUUGUACACUGAAAAAACGCUGAUGUAGUUUGAGAAAAGGAGUAGCAGAGCUAAGGGUCCGACCUUCCACCCCAGAAAACCAAAAAAUCUCACCAAUUUUCUCAGAGGUAGCAAUGGUAUUAUCUAAUGGGUUCGUUCGUUCUCAGUCUACAGAGUUUCUUCCUCUCAAAAUGUAAGAUAAGAAAUAUAUGUACAUGUUAAAAACUGCACACUACAGAGAUUUAUUGGAUUUUUAUAUGUUCGAUAUUCCUCCACUCAUAUCUUUGUAAAAAUAUUAUGCUUACAUUCAUAUGUAUGUGUUGAAUAUAUGAAUAGUCUUCUAGAUUUCA